CGAUUGGGCCCUGCGCCUUACCUAGAUAAAGCUUUGAAUUGAAUAUGAAGAAAAUCCAGAGAGUGGUUCUUGAGAUAGCUUAACAUGCAGGUAAAACAUGAACGUCCCC